rnacentral:rRNA from 1 species
GCGGCAGGCCUAACACAUGCAAGUCGCGGGGCAGGCACGGGUAGCAAUACCUGGUGGCGACCGGCGCACGGGUGCGUAACGCGUAUGCAACCUGCCCCCAUCAGGGGAUAGCCCGGCCGAAAGGCGGAUUAAUGCCCCAUAGGCCCAGGGCGCCGCAUGGCGCUAUGGGUAAAGCUCCGGCGGAUGGGGAUGGGCAUGCGUGCCAUUAGCUAGUUGGGGCGGUAACGGCGCACCAAGGCGACGAUGGCUAGGGGGUCUGAGAGGAUGGUCCCCCACACUGGUACUGAGACACGGACCAGACUCCUACGGGAGGCAGCAGUGAGGAAUAUUGGUCAAUGGGCGGAAGCCUGAACCAGCCAAUGCCGCGUGCAGGAUGACGGUCCCUACGGGUUGUAAACUGCUUUUCCCCGGGAAGAAUAAGCCCCUCGUGAGGGGCGAUGCCGGUACCGGGGGAAUAAGGAUCGGCUAACUCCGUGCCAGCCGCCGC